rnacentral:tRNA from 1 species
AGUGGCUCAGUUGUAGAGUGCUUGCCUUGCAUGCAUGAGGUCCUGGGUUCGAUUCCUCAGCACUA